rnacentral:rRNA from 1 species
AUUGAACGCUGGCGGCAUGCUUUACACAUGCAAGUCGAACGGUAACAGGUUAAGCUGACGAGUGGCGAACGGGUGAGUAAUGCAUCGGAACGUGCCCGGUCGUGGGGGAUAACGCAGCGAAAGUUGCGCUAAUACCGCAUACGAACUGAGGAUGAAAGCGGGGGACCGUAAGGCCUCGCGCGAUCGGAGAGGCCGAUGUCAGAUUAGGUAGUUGGUGGGGUAAAGGCUCACCAAGCCAACGAUCUGUAGCUGGUCUGGGAGGACGACCCGCCCCACUGGGACUGAGACACGGCCCAGACUCCUACGGGAGGCAGCAGUGGGGAAUUUUGGACAAUGGGCGAAAGCCUGAUCCAGCAAUGCCGCGUGCAGGAAGAAGGCCUUCGGGUUGUAAACUGCUUUUGUACGGAGCGAAAAGGUCUCCUCUAAUACAGGGGGCUCAUGACGGUACCGUAAGAAUAAGCACCGGCUAACUACGUGCCAGCCGCCGCAGUAA